AGAAUCAACGCUGGCGGCGUGCCUAACACAUGCAAGUCGCACGAGAAAGGGACUUCGGUCCUGAGUACAGUGGCGCACGGGUGAGUAACACGUGAAUAAUCUACCUCCGAGUGGGGAAUAACUGAGAGAAAUCUUAGCUAAUACCGCAUAACACUUACGAGUCAAAGCAGCAAUGCGUUUGGAGAGGAGUUCGCGGUCGAUUAGUUAGUUGGCGGGGUAAUGGCCCACCAAGACGAUGAUCGAUA
rnacentral:rRNA from 1 species